CAACCCUCAAGCCUAGCUUGGUCUUGGGCUCUGCCGGCAACGGCUGGCCUUAAAAUCAGUGGCGGUGCCAUCGAGCUCUACGCGUAGUAAUUAAACCCUCGCGUGUGAGUCUUGGUGGAUGCUUGCCAGCAACCCCCAACUUUCUAU
rnacentral:misc_RNA from 1 species